UACGUCACACAUGGUCUGCCACCGUGUCGUCCUACCUGCUUCAGGGCCCUCUACUUCUUCCCCCAAGAUUGCCAUUAUGAUUAACAAAUCUGACGAGAGCAAUUUAAUUGGUGACACAUCAUAUUUAUUCUGCAACUGCAUGUGAAUUCUCAUCUUGCGCCUACCUCUUUUGCUUACCAGUGAAGAUGGAGAGCUUUAGGCAAAAAAAGAAA